UGCCAUCUUUCUUUGCCUAGUGGAA
rnacentral:misc_RNA from 1 species